GUGUGCGGAAGUGCUUCUGCUA
rnacentral:miRNA from 3 species